AGUUAUUGAGCUUGUAAAGCUUAUAUUUUGAAAAUAUAAAAAAGAGAUUUAGUUCUCUAUUAACUU
rnacentral:tRNA from 1 species